UUCUGGUCGAUUUUCUCAGUGCUUCGUCGUCAUCCAAUGCAAUACGUAUCCUCCUAUUAAUACACACACAGUGCAUUUCUCCCGACUCUCUCUCCUCUCUCUCGUUCUCUCUCUCUCUAUAACUUCCACCCUAAGCUUUCCUCUUGCGAAAACGACAGCUUUCAAGGCUUUCGCUUUUCUUAUUUGCUCUGAACAGAAGCUGAUUGGCUUUUUGGCAGAUAUUGCUCAAAUUCCUGAUCUUCUGAGGGAUUCCGUCAUUGCUCCUGGAAGCAGAUUGAGCAUUCUAAUUCCGUAUAUGCAUUUUUAAGGAGAUGACUUCCCAUGAGUACGAUUCAGAUAUUGUUCAGUGGGGUAUUCGUCUUUUUGGUAGGGAUCCAGUUUGUAAUUCUUCAUACUACUAUGGUGACAUGAUACAACACGAUUCCAAUGAUAUCGACCAUGAAGAGUGUAUCAGAAGUCAUUAUGAUACAGAAUCAAACAAUGUAGAAAAUGAUGAGAUCAUUGCACAUACUCUUCAAGAAGAAUUUUCGCGACUAUCUGUAACAGAGGCCUCUGAAUACUCCCAUGCAGGAGAAGCGCAAUCACAAGCUUCAUUUCUUGCAGAUGAGUGGCAUGGUCAAUCUACAAGAGAUUAUUACUCAGACCAUGGUUAUGGCCAGGAAGAAGCUGAUACUGUGGUGCCUUCUAGCUUAUGUUCUAGACCUGAUGAUCAUUUGGAGCUAACUGAUGGAUGUGCACUUGAUGGUGAAGUAGGCUGGGGCUGGAAUCCUGUUCCUCACAUUCCUAGAAUCAAUGGAGAAAUUCCUUCAAUUGAUGAAGCGACUUCAGAUCAUCAAAGGCUAGUUGACAGGCUUCAAUUAUAUGGCUUCGUCGAACACAAGGUGGCAGGAGAUGGCAACUGCCAGUUCCAUGCUUUAUCAGACCAGUUGUAUCAAUCACCUGACAACCACGAGUAUGUGAGAAAGCAAGUUGUAAAUCAGCUUAAGUCUCAUCCAGAGAUAUACGAGGGAUAUGUUCCUAUGGCAUAUGAUGACUAUUUGGAGAAGAUGUCCAAGGAUGGUGAGUGGGGUGACCAUGUCUCAUUACAGGCGGCUGCUGAUUUGUACGAAGUGAAAAUAUUUGUCUUGACGUCGUUUAAGGAUAACUGUUGCAUAGAGAUUCUUCCUAAUAUUCAAACUUCAAAACAAGUUAUUUAUUUGAGUUUCUGGGCGGAGGUGCAUUACAACUCAAUUUAUCCUCAAGGAGGCACACCCUCAUAUGAGAACAGGAAAAAGAAAAAAUGGCGGAUAUUUGGGAAUAAGCAUUAGGAAUGUUUGGAUGGCAUUAGGCACAUUUCUCCCUCUUAUUGUUGCUGCUGCUUUUGUUUAAAUCACGUAGAUCCCUGGUUCAGAACCUCACAUGAUCAUAUUUUUGCUCUUCCAAUGUCCCGUCCAGGCUGGAUUAUCUCUUUUCUUACCAGCGGUUUUAUCCACGUCGUUGUGCAAGCGCGUGUAUUUGAGGGGAUACGACAAAUAUGCAGAUGGUGGGUUCCAAGUUCCAACUGAAUUGGAAAAUCUCUGGUGAGUAUCUGCGUCAACACACGAAAAAUAUGCAACCGGUGAGUUUCAACUGAAUUGGAAAGCUCGGCCAUUGUUUACAUCAUUUGUUUCAUGGGUAAUAAUUUACUUGCAUCUUGCGCAUUGGUGAAUAUACGAUUGGAUGCAGGGUGUUAAAGUUUUUGCUUGGUCAUUGAACACUAAUUUGAGUAGAGAGAGAGAGAGAGAGAGAGAGAGAGAGAGAGAGAGAGAGGUGCAGAUUAUUAGUUAGAAACAGAGCUCAAAAGAUACAUGUUCAAUUUGCUUCUGGUUUCAGCGGCAGUCGGGCAACAAUUCAGGUUUCAGUUGUAUCUUUGCUUGUUGAUCGUAGUCAAGUAUUUAUACAUUUCCGUGAGUAAUAGCAGCAGCAGAAGAAGAAUAUGGACUAUAGGUUGUCUGUGUUUUUGCUUCGACGGCCGUCAAAUGCUUCACGUUUCAUCAUUGAAAUGAUUGAUCGAACGACGGGUGAUUACAAUUUCUUUAGAGUAAUAGGGUACAGAAUAGAACUUUGAUAGUGAUAUCCAAACUUGAGGUUGAAGAUGACAACAGGAUCGUUGACUUGUCAAAGUCAUCGAUUUUCUUUGUUACCUUGGAUUGGAGGGAGUCAAACUCUCAGUCUAUCCUCCUGUCCUCCCUCCUCUCCGUUUUAUCGAACUAAAUUUAUAAGAAUAAAUCGAUUACGU